rnacentral:misc_RNA from 1 species
UUGAAACAAACUGCGACUCGCGGAUUGUUGCUGACCCUGUUAAGUUAACUUGGGUAUGUGCACGUCUGCGGUUGCUUUUAAAACUUCAUCCACCUGUGCACCACUGUAGGCCUAGAUACCUCUCACGAGCGAUCGCUGCGUGGUUUGGAGGGUGUUGCUCUCUCUCUUGCGACUCCCUUUGUCUUCUAGGUCUAUGUUCACUUAUACCCUCUGUAUGUUUUGAAUGUCUCGUUUACUGGACUACGUCCUUUAAAACUCAAUA